rnacentral:tRNA from 1 species
GCGCCCGUAGCUCAGCUGGAUAGAGUGUCUGACUUCGAAUCAGAAAGUCACAGGUUCGAAUCCUGUCGGGCGCACCA